rnacentral:rRNA from 1 species
UACAGAGGGUGCAAGCGUUGUUCGGAAUUAUUGGGCGUAAAGGGAGUGUAGGCGGCUAGGAAAGUCUUCUGUGAAAUCUACGGGCUCAGCCUGUAACGUGCAGAGGAAACUAUCUGGCUAGAGUGUCGGAGAGGAUAGGGGAAUACCCAGUGUAGAGGUGAAAUUCGUAGAGAUUGGGUGGAACACCAGUGGCGAAGGCGCCUGUCUGGCUGACAACUGACGCUGAGACUCGAAAGCAUGGGGAGGCAAACGGG